AGGCUGUGGCAGGGGAGAUACCAUGAUCACGAAGGUGGUUUUCCCAGGGCGAGGCUUAUCCAUUGCACUCCGGAUGUGCUGACCCUUGCGAUUUCCCCAAAUGUGGGAAACUCGACUGCAUAAUUUGUGGUAGUGGGGGACUGCGUUCGCGCUUUCCCCUG
rnacentral:snRNA from 1 species